rnacentral:rRNA from 1 species
CAGCGCUAUUUAGGUUAGAGUUUGAUCAUGGCUCAGGACGAACGCUGGCGGCACGCUUAACACAUGCAAGUCGAGCGAGAACCCACCUUCGGGUGGGGGAAAGCGGCGAACGGGUGAGUAACACGUGGGCAACCCACCCUUGGUAUCGGGAUAGCCCGGGGAAACCCGGAUUAAUACCGGAUGGCCCAGCAGCUCUUCGGGGCGGCUGGAAAAGGUAGCUUCGGCCUCCGACCAAGGACGGGCCCGCGGCGGAUUAGCUUGUUGGUGGGGUAAUGGCCUACCAAGGCGACGAUCCGUAGCUGGUCUGAGAGGACGAUCAGCCACACUGGGACUGAGACACGGCCCAGACUCCUACGGGAGGCAGCAGUGGGGAAUCUUGCGCAAUGGGCGAAAGCCUGACGCAGCGACGCCGCGUGGGGGAAGAAGGCUUUCGGGUUGUAAACCCCUUUCAGGUGGGACGAAGCCACUCGGGUUAAUAGCCCAGAGGGUGACGGUACCGCCAGAAGAAGCCCCGGCUAACUACGUGCCAGCAGCCGCGGUAAUCCGCCC